rnacentral:rRNA from 1 species
GAUGAACGCUGGCGGCGUGCUUAACACAUGCAAGUCGAACGGUGAAGCAGGAGCUUGCUCUUGUGGAUCAGUGGCGAACGGGUGAGUAACACGUGAGCAACCUGCCCCUGACUCUGGGAUAAGCGCUGGAAACGGCGUCUAAUACUGGAUAUGUGAUGUGACCGCAUGGUCUGCAUCUGGAAAGAAUUUCGGUUGGGGAUGGGCUCGCGGCCUAUCAGCUUGUUGGUGAGGUAAUGGCUCACCAAGGCGUCGACGGGUAGCCGGCCUGAGAGGGUGACCGGCCACACUGGGACUGAGACACGGCCCAGACUCCUACGGGAGGCAGCAGUGGGGAAUAUUGCACAAUGGGCGCAAGCCUGAUGCAGCGACGCCGCGUGAGGGAUGACGGCCUUCGGGUUGUAAACCUCUUUCAGCAUCGACGAAGCGAAAGUGACGGUAGGUGCAGAAGAAGGACCGGCCAACUACGUGCCAGCAGCCGCCGUAA